ensembl:misc_RNA 7SK 7SK RNA
GGAUGUGAGGGCAAUCUGGCUGCGACAUCUGUCACCCCACUAAUCGCCAGAGUUGAUUUCAGCUGAUCUAGCUGGCUAGAUUGGUAUUAACUUCCUCCCUCACUGCUCUGUGUGCAUCUCUCCCAAAGCUGUGUGCUUGGUCAAAGAGGACGACCCUCCCUGAUAGAGGAGGACCACUCUUUGGUCAAGAAUAUACGAGUAGCUGUGCUUCCCUCACAGAAUCCCCAAACAAGCUCUCAAGAUUUUGGAGAGCAAAAGAGAGGCAGCAGCCAUUUUAUUUUUACACUCAAGACAAGCAGGCGCUU